AACUGCAGACUUCAAAGAAUUGGCCAGGGCAUUCACAGAGUUGGUCUGAUGGUGCCUGCUAAUGUCAUCGACCUCACCCUUUGCUUGAGGAACAAAAGAGGAAGCGUCCCCCAUUUGGGCCAUGUCAUGAGGAUACCUGGACCACCGAUUGAGAUGUGCCUUUUUAAGUAAAUCAAGUGAAAAGGAGACUGAAGUAGGACUUUAAUUUUUGCUCCUCCAGUUACACAACCUCCCUUCCAAUCUCUAAUUUGAUAGGCCUACCUGUAAAAUGGGAGGGGUGUCAUAUCCCCUUAACCAGAGAAAUGGGACAACAUUUACACACACUUUGGUUGACUCAGCUUGGCGAUUCAACUUUCAGCUUGAUCUCAAUUAUUGGAGAGAGGCCUCAUUGCUUUAUCAGUCAUGCAAGACUUCAUGUAUGCAUAUGGUUCCCGCCAUAGAGCUAACAAUAGGCCCCAAUCACCACACAACCCACACCCCAAGUGCCACAAGUCCCACUUGCCGCGGCUGAGAGAUCUUGGGUAAAGAGGUCUUUGUACAUUACUUCCCACGUCGUAAAGGAACCAAAGUACCAGUAGUAGCUGGCAUUGGAGUAUGAAGACCAAGCAUGGGAGCUAGGUGUGACUUGUGCCUUCCCACUGGUUCCCCUGGUCCCACAAUAAAGUACACCUGAGUGAUGAUUAUGGGAUUGCAAUUUUGGCCACGCUGAUCAGACACUUCGUUUGAGGGACUGCGGUGCAUGGCUGCUACUAGGUCUACUUCUGCUGGGAUUUAAAGUGAUGGGGGUGGAGGCAAGAUUUGGCCAGAUCUCCAGGACAACUACUUCUAGUGCACCCCCAUCAGGACCCCCUCUUGCAGCCCCACCUGCUCCUCCAAUGGCUGGCCUUGUGAUCCACAGUCAUGGGGGCAGAGGCAAGGUUGGACGCCCAGUGGCUGUCACUCCAUCAGUUCAGCCGUGUGGAGGCAAAUAAGUACUUUCAGGCAACCCACAGGGGGGAAGUGAACAGUGCUGUUAUCUGCAGCCCCAGGAUCACCCUUGAGGGUCAGUGUGACAGGGAGGUGGAUGUCCUGUUCAGUCACCAUUCUACCACACUGAUUUUUUCACUAAUCAACUGCUCAACAUUACCAAGAGUAUUAGAAUCUGGUCAGAACAAAAUCUCGAACAGCCUGCAGCUCGUAAAGAGCAGGUGGGGGCAGCCCUGAUGGGUGAACUGUUAUUCUUCAAUUUACUUUAUUCUACAUUUCAUGGGUGUAUGUUGAUUUGUGUAUUUUCCAGGAGCUUGCUCGGUUGUCUUGUUAAAAAGAGAUCAGGGAAGAAUUUGUCAGUUUCUCCUAUAUUGGCUCAAAUUGGUUACUGCGUUUGACUUCCCUCUGGAAAGUUGUUUCUUUAAAUAAAUACUGAAUAAAACAUUUCUGUUGCAAUUUGUUAUUAUUGGGUAUCUUAAAUACUGUCACUGA